rnacentral:miRNA from 1 species
GAUAGGAGUAGGGUUAGGGUAGGGUUAGGGGUAGGGUUAGGAAUAGGGUUAGGGUUACCCUACCCCUACCCUAACCCUACCCCUAACCCUGCUCCAACCACUAACCCUAAC